UUGAAAAAACAUGUCAUUCACCAUCCUACUUGUUUGGUCAACCUGUAUGCUAAGUUUCUGUAUACCUGGUAUGAACAUGAUUCUUUUUGACCAUCAAUUUUAGGCUAGGAUUUCAAACAAGUGGGAGUCUGGUGAGGUGAACAUCCAGAGGAAUUUUGAACCACAACCAUCCUACAACUGCCCAAAAUCAGAGUUACAACUAGAUAUGAGUUGCACCCCCAACUCCAAAAUUUAUCAAUGAGGCAGAUAAGGCAGCAUGCAAACAUUUUGCUACCUGCUGGCUUAAACGCUACCUUCAUGUUGCAUCAUGCUAAAUGUGCUGUUAAAUGGCUGCAGCCCUCAGCAAGGGGCCCAAAUACAUACAAGUUACUGGAUCUUCAAGAAUAUUGAAUGACAAUUGAAAGUCUGCAAAUGUAUCAGUUCCAAGGCAUGUAACAUUUUUACUCAAUAAGAGAUGCACUGAGAUGAUAAGAGAGAGACAUUUCUUCUGAUGAAACAAAUGUGGGUGAAGGAAGCCUUACCUGCAUCAAAAUCUUCUGUCAUAAUUGUAUUGUAUCUAUUAUAGAAUUGCUUCCCACAAUGAAGAACCACUAUUGCUUACCAAUACUGACAUGCCAACUGAUUGCCUUAUCCU